GUUUGGGCGACUUUGGAAUAUCAAAUUUUUCACCAGGCCCGGUCGUCCUGCCAAAUUUCCUGAGUUUUCGCCAGUGGGAAGUGGGCCAUUUUCCAGUUCAAAGGGGAGGAAAAAGAAGAACUAGGGCCCCGUUGGGGCACUGGCGGGCCCGAGCCGUGUCACGCCGCCCCCAGCGCGACCGCCUCCCCCACCCGAUCGCGUCACACUCAAGGUCCAAAGAUGGUGUGCGCACUUGUUUGUGGUCAUUUACCAUUAUAAUGAACGGGAGGCGCAGUUUCUACCAAAACGCUCGCUGCAGAAAAACUCCAUGUCCUAUUUGAAAAAAGUCUGGACCAUGAGUGAGGGCACAAACACAGCUAAGAUAUAUCCAAAUGGCAAGUUGCUCCUCCUUUCGCUUUUGCCGAGAGAGCAGUGCGUUUGAGCCAUUGAAUGAUGAACAGGAAAAACUUGACUUUAUUCUCCUGCCAUGGGGGGGCGCUCUUUUAAAGAGAAAAAACUCCUUCACAAAUGUGUUGAUGGCUGGACAUUGCAUCAUCCUAGAAAACAUGGAGGCCAGUGAGGACAAAAAUAAAAAGUUAUAAGACUUUUAAAUAUGUGGAUUUUAGGGUUAUCUUUGGCGCCCCCUAGAACCUAAACCGUGGGGUGCAGCGUCAUGAUUUGAAUAACUUUUAAUGGCCAUGGGGUGUAGAUUGGCCUGAGCAAAUGUGGUGCCGGUGGAACGAAAGCCUUCGGAGGAAUUAGCGAAAUUCCAAUGUGUGCGAAUCUGCAAAAAAUGCGAAAUAACCCUUUAACCGUACAUUUUACAGAUACGUGGCCAUUGACUUUUUCGAAGAUCUUAUUGAAAUACACGUGUAUGUAAAAUUUUGUGUCAAUACGACAAAACAUACAGGCGUAGCACUCAACAAUGUGUAUUUUCACCUUAGUGGACAAGAAAAAAUUGACUUUUUUCUCCUGCCAUGGGGGGGCGCUCUUUUGCCGAGUAAAAAUUCCUUCACAAAUGUGUUGAUGGCUGGACAUUGCAUCAUCCUAGAAAACUUGGAGGCCAGUGGGGACAAAAAUAAAAAGUUAUAAGACUUUUAAAUAUGUGGAUUUUACGGUUAUCUUUGGCUCCCCCUAGAACCUAAACCGUGGGGUGCAGCGUCAUGAUUUGAAUAACUUUUAAUGGCCAUGGGGUGUAGAUUGGCCUGAGCAAAUGUGGUGCCGGUGGAACGAAAGCCUUCGGAGGAGUUAGCGAAAUUCCAAUGUGUGUUGAUCGGCAAAAAAUGCGGAAUAACCCUUUAACCGUACAUUUGACAGAUACGCGCGCAUUGACUUUUUCGUAGAUCUUAUUGAGAUACAUGUGUGUGUCAAUUUCUGUGUCAUUUUGCCAAAGCGUACAGGUGUUACACUCAACAAUGUGUAUUUUCACCUUAGGGGACAAGAAAAAAUUGACUUUUUUCUCCUGCCAUGGGGGGGCGCUCUUUUGGGGAGUAAAAAUUCCUUCACAAAUGUGUUGAUGGCUGGACAUUGCAUCAUCCUAGAAAACUUGGAGGCCAGUGAGGGCAAAAAUAAAAAGUUAUAAGACUUUUAAAUAUGUGGAUCUUAGGGUUAUCUUUGGCGCCCCCUAGAACCUAAACCGUGGGGUGCAGCGUCAUGAUUUGAAUAACUUUUAAUGGCCAUGGGGUGUAGAUUGGCCUGAGCAAAUGUGGUGCCGGUGGAACGAAAGCCUUCGGAGGAGUUAGCGAAAUUCCAAUGUGUGCGGAUCGGCAAAAA
rnacentral:lncRNA from 1 species